UAUAGAGUUCAAGUAAAGUGGACUUGGGGCAACGCCAGGAAAGCCUGUGGUUAGUUUUUUCUUUCAUGUGACCCUCUGCCCAAAUGACGAGUCUGGGAGUGCUGGGAUCCAGGAAAGGGCAAGCGAGCACUUUCAGAUCUCUCACAGAAGCUUCCAUCAUCUGUUCGAGUUUGGAUGUUGACAGAGAAAGGCUGCACUGAAACGAGGCUGUCAGAGCAGGAGCAUCAGCCUUUGUCAGGCUGGCAACAAAUACCACUUCCGGAUCUGUGAUCAUGGCCUUUAAAGUCAUAUUUGGUCUAACAGAGUCAUCUGAAGAAACAAGCAACAGGAACCAGAAAAGUUUAAGCAACAUGGAUGGAACUGGAGGCCAUUAUCUUAAGUGAAACAACCCAGAAGCAGAAAAACAAACUGCACGUUCUCACUUAUAAGUGGCAGCUAAAUAAUGAAUACACGUGGUCAGUGUGUGGAAUAAUACACAUUGGAGACUUGAA